ensembl:lncRNA
GUAUGUGUAUUUUUUUUUUCUUGAGUUAUUCUUUUUUUGUUCCCAACUUUGGAGUUGGGUCUGACCUCCCGGGGAGCAUGGACUGAGCCGAGGGGGGGCAGCAGAACCCGGAAGCCGCCCUGGCCCCACCUCGUGCGCACUCUCACAUCCGUACCCACCGGUGUGCACACGCUCGAGGCCAGUCAGUGUGGACCCCGACCCGCGCCGAGCCGCAUGGAGGCGGGAGCCGCCACUCGGACAGUUAAGGAUGGCGGUCCCGGCUAGAUGCUCGCUGGAGCUCCGUGAUAACACCCUCUCGGAGGCCUCAGUUGCCUGAGUUUUUCUACGCGUCACCAUAUAGUCGGAUCCCGGCCCUCCAAAAAGGCUUGGUAGGCAAACCAAACCCCGCCGA